ensembl:misc_RNA
UAGUGUUCAUCGUGGUGAUCAGAUGGCACCAGGAGAAAUGGAGCCCAUGGCCAGUGUGAGUCGUAGCAGUGCAGGAGGGGAGACCCUGAAGGAGAGAGCCCGCCUAAGUUGAUGUCUGCAGAUUGAAUUUCCAGAGGCUUAGGAGGUGGAAGUUUCUCCA